AGAAAUCCGCCUGCCUCUGCCUCCCGAGUGCUGGGAUUAAAGGCGUGCACCACCACGCCCGGCUAAGAAAACACACUUAAAGGGUGCCAGGCCAGGAUUAAGAUUCCCUCCAACACCUCCCCCCACCUCGCCCCUCCUCCCCCCCUUUGCCUUCUCCUUAGGCACCUAUCCCACCCAGCACAGGAGAGGAGCUUGUGAGUGAAGCUGGAGAAAAGAGGAGACCUUGUCUCAAAGGAGCACUGGGCUGAAGAGAGGGCUCAGUGGUUAUGGUCUUUUUCAGAGAACCCUGGUUCUUCAAAUCCUGAAGAAUGAAAAAUUACUGGCCUCUUGUGAGAACAUGAACUUUCACCUCGGAGCCCACCCCCUCCCAUCUGGAAAACAUACUUGAGAAAAAACAUUUUCUGGAACAACCACAGAAUGUUUCAACAGGCCAGAUGUAUUGCCAAACACAGGAUAUGACUCUUUGGUUGAGUAAAUUUGUGGUUGUUAAACUUCCCCUAUUCCCUCCCCAUUCCCCCUCCCAGUUUGUGGUUUUUUCCUUUAAAAGCUUGUGAAAAUUUUAAGUCGUCGUCGAGACUCCUCUACCCUGUGCAAAGGUGUAUGAGUUUCGACCCCAGAGCUCUGUGUGCUUUCUGUUGCUGCUUUAUUUCGACCCCAGAGCUCUGGUCUGUGUGCUUUCAUGUCGCUGCUUUAUUAAAUCUUACCUUCUACAUUUUAUGUAUGGUCUCAGUGUCUUCUUGGGUACGCGGCUGUCCCGGGACUUGAGUGUCUGAGUGAGGGUCUUCCCUCGAGGGUCUUUCAUUUGGUACAUGGGCCGGGAAUUCGAGAAUCUUUCAUUUGGUGCAUUGGCCGGGAAUUCGAAAAUCUUUCAUUUGGUGCAUUGGCCGGGAAACAGCGCGACCACCCAGAGGUCCUAGACCCACUUAGAGGUAAGAUUCUUUGUUCUGUUUUGGUCUGAUGUCUGUGUUCUGAUGUCUGUGUUCUGUUUCUAAGUCUGGUGCGAUCGCAGUUUCAGUUUUGCGGACGCUCAGUGAGACCGCGCUCCGAGAGGGAGUGCGGGGUGGAUAAGGAUAGACGUGUCCAGGUGUCCACCGUCCGUUCGCCCUGGGAGACGUCCCAGGAGGAACAGGGGAGGAUCAGGGACGCCUGGUGGACCCCUUUGAAGGCCAAGAGACCAUUUGGGGUUGCGAGAUCGUGGGUUCGAGUCCCACCUCGUGCCCAGUUGCGAGAUCGUGGGUUCGAGUCCCACCUCGUGUUUUGUUGCGAGAUCGUGGGUUCGAGUCCCACCUCGCGUCUGGUCACGGGAUCGUGGGUUCGAGUCCCACCUCGUGUUUUGUUGCGAGAUCGUGGGUUCGAGUCCCACCUCGCGUCUGGUCACGGGAUCGUGGGUUCGAGUCCCACCUCGUGCAGAGGGUCUCAAUUGGCCGGCCUUAGAGAGGCCAUCUGAUUCUUCUGGUUUCUCUUUUUGUCUUAGUCUCGUGUCCGCUCUUGUUGUGACUACUGUUUUUCUAAAAAUGGGACAAUCUGUGUCCACUCCCCUUUCUCUGACUCUGGUUCUGUCGCUUGGUAAUUUUGUUUGUUUACGUUUGUUUUUGUGAGUCGUCUAUGUUGUCUGUUACUAUCUUGUUUUUGUUUGUGGUUUACGGUUUCUGUGUGUGUCUUGUGUGUCUCUUUGUGUUCAGACUUGGACUGAUGACUGACGACUGUUUUUAAGUUAUGCCUUCUAAAAUAAGCCUAAAAAUCCUGUCAGAUCCCUAUGCUGACCACUUCCUUUCAGAUCAACAGCUGCCCUGCCUCCCACUCCAACUCCAGAGAGCAGCCAGCGGGUCACAGUGGUCCCGCCCAUGAACCUGGAGCCUAGGGAAAAAUGAGCUCGGAAAUCCGGAGCAAAUGAGGAGUGGUCCCUGAGAAGUCAGUGGCCUAAAUGUUGUGGCUGCUGAAGCAAAAGAAGAGGAGGCUGUUCGAGUAGCCGGCCAAGAGCGCCGCGGGUUCCCAGGCAGCUUCUCAUUCCCCUGUCCCUCCCAUCCCGUCUCUUGUUAACAGAAAAACUGCUUUCACUUUGAGAUAUGAGUGGCCCGAUACAGCCAGCUGUGAGAGCUGUACUCCCUUCCCUGCCCCACGUGUUUUCUCUUCUCAGGCGACCCCUCCCUGAGCUGCUGGCAGUGAGUCUGUUCUAAGCUCCAGUGAGGGAGGCAUCCGCCCACUUGGGGCUUCUGUCCAAGGUAAGGAGCACCUGUGAGUCUAACUGCCAGGCUCUGAUGGGGGUCUCGUCUCUGUGGGACUAGAAAGUGUCCCAACAAUCUGACCAAGGUAACAGGAAGUUAAGACAAAGACAGAGACCAAAGUCAGAAUCAGAGCUGUGCUGUGAGACAAAAAGAUAAAAAAAAUAAAAUGCUGGCCACAAAAGUCAGGAAAACUAGAAAACUUAGAUAGUACCUGGCAACAAAAGAAAGCUUUUGGCUAAAGAUCAACGUGUAUACUGUAAAGAAAAUGAGCACUGGGUGAGAGACUGCCCCAACAAAAAGAAGAGGAGCCCCCCUCAUGACCAAACCCUUCACCUGUUCGUGGCUAAAAGUAAAGAGAUAACAAAAGGGGUGCUAACACAGAAGCUGAGUCCUUAAAAGAGUCCGGUGGCCUACCUGUUGAAGCAGCUAAAAAAGAGACUGUGUUUCAUACUCCUCCACUGACCAGUGCAAAACAAGCUAAAAAGUUCCUGGGCACUGCGGGCUUUUGCAGAUUGUGGAUUCCAGGUUUUGCUGAGUUAAAGAGAUAAACAGCCCUUCGUAUAGAAAAAUAAAAAACAACCUUGGAUGUCCUUGGAUGCUAUUGAGACUGCCCUAAUGUUGUCCCCAGCUAUGGGACUCCUAGAUGUGACUGAGAACAAAGGUAUUGCCAAAGAAGUUCUUACUCAGAGAUUGGGACCCUGAAAAAGACCUGUGGCAUACUUGUAAGAAAUUAGACCUGGUGGCUGUAAGAUGGCCUGCUUGUCUGCACAUAGUGGCUUCUGGUCAAGGACGCAGAUAAAUUGACUCUGAGACAAAACUUGGCACAUGUCCUAGAAAGUGUGGUUCAGCCCCCAUGACCGAUGGCUGACUAACGCUCUUGAAAACAUUAUCCAACUGUUCCCCUGACCGAUGGACACAUUGUCAGAGCUUUUUUUGACUGAACGAGUGACCUUCGCUCCCCCUGCUAUCCUCGAUCUCACUACUGCCUGAGACUUCACCUACUCAUCAUUGUGCUGACAUUCUGGCAGAAGAAACUCAUACUCGAAAUGAUCUGAAGGAUCAGAUCAGCCUUGGCCUGAGAGUUUGAGCUGGUACACGGAUGGCAGUAGCCUGGAGGUUAAGGGUAAGCGGAAGGCGGGGACAGCAGUGCAGUGGUGGACAGAAAGCAAGUGAUCUAGGCCAGCAGCCUCCCUAAAGGGACUUCAGCCCACAAAGCCAAACUUGUGGCUUUAAUACAAGCUCUGUAAAUGGUAAAAAAAAAAAAGUCUACACGGACAGCAGGUAUGCUCUUGCCACUGUACAGAGCAAUAUACAGACAAAGAGAACUGUUGACAUCUGCAGAGAAAGACCUAAGAUGCUGUGGCUAAAAGAAAUCAGAUGGCAAAUCUAACCGCCCAGGCAUCCUAAAGAGCAAUGAUCCUGACAGUCUGAAGACUAUCAAGUUAUAGACAAAUUAAGACUGGUAAAAAAAACCCUGUAUAAAAUAGUAAAAACUGAAAAAAGAAAACUAGUCCUCUCAUGAGAAGACAGACCUGACAUCUACUGAAAAAUAGACUUUACUGGAAAAAAUAUGUGUAUGAAUACCUUCUAGUUUUUGUGAACGUUCUCAAGAUGGAUAAAAGCUUUUCCUUGUAAAACUGAGACUGAUCAGAUAGUCAUCAAGAAGAUUGUUAAAGAAAAUUUUCCAAGGUUCGGAGUGCCAAAAGCAAUAGUGUCAGAUAAUGGUCCUGCCUUUGUUGCCCAGGUAAGUCAGGGUGUGGCCAAGUAUUUAGAGGUCAAAUAAAAAUUCCAUUGUGUGUACAGACCUCAGAGCUCAGAAAAGAUAAAAAAGAAUAAAUAAAACUCUAAACAGACCUUGACAAAAUUAAUCCUGGAGACUGGCACAGGCUUACUUGGUGCCCCUUCCCCUUGCCCUAUUUAAAACUGAGAAUACUCCCUCUUGAUUCGGUUUUACUCUUUUCAAGAUCCUUUAUGGGGCUCCUAUGCCCAUCACUGUCUUAAAUGAUGUGUUUAAACCUAUGUUGUUAUAAUAAUGAUCUGUAUACUAAGUUAAAAGGCUUACAGGUGGUGCAGAAAAAAGUCUGGUCACAACUGGCUACAGCGAACGAGCUGGGUACCCCAAGGACAUCUUACCAGUUCCAGCCAGAGAUCUGAUCUACGUACACCUGCGUCAUGCUGAGACCCUCAAGCCUCACUAAAAGGGUCCCUGCCUAGUUCUGUUUACUAAUCUGCCUUAUUCUGUUUCUGUUCCCAUGUUAAAGAUAGAGUAAAUGCAGUAUUCUCCACAUAGAGAUAUAGACUUCUGAAAUUCUAAGAUUAGAAUUACUUACAAGAAGAAGUGGGGAAUGAAGAAUGAAAAAUUACUGGCCUCUUGUGAGAACAUGAACUUUCACCUCGGAGCCCACCCCCUCCCAUCUAGAAAACAUUUUUGAGAUAAAGGCCUCCUGGAACAACCUCAAAAUGACAUUGCCAAAUGAUAAGACAUGACUCCUUAGUUACGUAGGUUCCUUGAUAGGACAUGACUCCUUAGUUACGUAGGUUCCUUGAUAGGACAUGACUCCUUAGUUACGUAGAAUCCUUUGGCAGAACCCCUUGUCCCUUGGCAGAACUCCCUAGUGAUGUAAACUUGUACUUUCCCUGCCCAGUUCUCCCCCCUUUGAGUUUUACUAUAUAAGCCUGUGAAAAAUUUUGGCUGGUCGUCGAGACUCCUCUACCCUGUGCUAAGGUGUAUGAGUUUCGACCCCAGAGCUCUGUGUGCUUCCAUGUUGCUGCUUUAUUUCGACCCCAGAGCUCUGGUCUGUGUGCUUUCAUGUUGUUGCUACUUUAUUAAAUCUUACCUUCUACAUUUUAUGUAUGGUCUCAGUGUCUUCUUGGGUACGCGGCUGUCCCGGGACUUGAGUG
rnacentral:lncRNA from 1 species